GACGGAGGAUGCAAGCGUUAUCCGGAAUUAUUGGGCGUAAAGCGUCCGCAGGUGGCUGUUCAAGUCUGCUGUCAAAGCGCAGAGCUUAACUCUGUACAGGCGGUGGAAACUGAAGAGCUAGAGUAUGGUAGGGGUAGAGGGAAUUCCCGGUGUAGCGGUGAAAUGCGUAGAUAUCGGGAAGAACACCAGUGGCGAAGGCGGCUAUCUGGUCUAACACUGACACUGAGACACGAAAGCGUGGGGAGCAAACAGG
rnacentral:rRNA from 1 species